rnacentral:rRNA from 1 species
UCGAACGGCAGCACGGACUUCGGUCUGGUGGCGAGUGGCGAACGGGUGAGUAAUGUAUCGGAACGUGCCCAGUAGCGGGGGAUAACUACGCGAAAGCGUAGCUAAUACCGCAUACGCCCUACGGGGGAAAGCAGGGGAUCGUAAGACCUUGCACUAUUGGAGCGGCCGAUAUCGGAUUAGCUAGUUGGUGGGGUAACGGCUCACCAAGGCGACGAUCCGUAGCUGGUUUGAGAGGACGACCAGCCACACUGGGACUGAGACACGGCCCAGACUCCUACGGGAGGCAGCAGUGGGGAAUUUUGGACAAUGGGGGAAACCCUGAUCCAGCCAUCCCGCGUGUGCGAUGAAGGCCUUCGGGUUGUAAAGCACUUUUGGCAGGAAAGAAACGUCAUGGGUUAAUACCCCGUGAAACUGACGGUACCUGCAGAAUAAGCACCGGCUAACUACGUGCCAGCAGCCACGGUAAUACGUAGGGUGCAA